UACGGAGGGUGCAAGCGUUAUCCGGAUGCACUGGGUUUAAAGGGUGCGUAGGCGGGUAAGUAAGUCCGUGGUGAAAUCUCUGAGCUUAACUCAGAAACUGCCGUGGAUACUAUUUGCCUUGAAUAUUGUGGAGGUGAGCGGAAUAUGUCAUGUAGCGGUGAAAUGCUUAGAUAUGACAUAGAACACCAAUUGCGAAGGCAGCUCACUACACAAUCAUUGACGCUGAGGCACGAAAGCGUGGGGAUCAAACAGG
rnacentral:rRNA from 1 species